rnacentral:rRNA from 1 species
CCUACGGGAGGCUGCAGUAGGGAAUAUUGCUCAAUGGGGGAAACCCUGAAGCAGCAACGCCGCGUGGAGGAUGAAGGUUUUAGGAUUGUAAACUCCUUUUGUGAGAGAAGAUAAUGACGGUAUCUCUCGAAUAAGCACCGGCUAACUCCGUGCCAGCAGCCGCGGUAAUACGGAGGGUGCAAGCGUUACUCGGAAUCACUGGGCGUAAAGCGUGCGCAGGCGGGCUUGUAAGUCAGAUGUGAAAUCCUGUAGCUUAACUACAGAACUGCAUUUGAAACUAUGAGUCUAGAGUGUGGGAGAGGUAGGUGGAAUUCUUGGUGUAGGGGUGAAAUCCGUAGAUAUCAAGAGGAAUACCGAUUGCGAAGGCGACCUACUGGAACAUUACUGACGCUCAUGCACGAAAGCGUGGGUAGCAAACAGGAUUAGAUACCCCAGUAGUC